rnacentral:rRNA from 1 species
CUUGACAUCCAGCGAACUUUCCAGAGAUGGAUUGGUGCCUUCGGGAACGCUGAGACAGGUGCUGCAUGGCUGUCGUCAGCUCGUGUUGUGAAAUGUUGGGUUAACGUCCGCAACGAGCGCAACCCUUAUCCUUUGUUGCCAGCGAUUCGGUCGGGAACUCAAAGGAGACUGCCGGUGAUAAACCGGAGGAAGGUGGGGAUGACGUCAAGUCAUCAUGGCCCUUACGAGUAGGGCUACACACGUGCUACAAUGGCGCAUACAAAGAGAAGCGACCUCGCGAGAGCAAGCGGACCUCAUAAAGUGCGUCGUAGUCCGGAUCGGAGUCUGCAACUCGACUCCGUGAAGUCGGAAUCGCUAGUAAUCGUGGAUCAGAAUGCCACGGUGAAUACGUUCCCGGGCCUUGUACACACCGCCCGUCACACCAUGGGAGUGGGUUGCAAAAGAAGUAGGUAGCUUAACCUUCGGGAGGGCGCUUACCACUUUGUGAUUCAUGACCGGGGUGAAGUCGUAACAAGGUAAGCGUAGCGAG